rnacentral:rRNA from 1 species
GGGACGAACGCUGGCGGCGUGCUUAACACAUGCAAGUCGAGCGGAAAGGCCCUUCGGGGUACUCGAGCGGCGAACGGGUGAGUAACACGUGAGCAACCUGCCCUUAGCUCCGGGAUAGCUCCGGGAAACCGGAAUUAAUACCGGAUACGACCACGGCCGACAUCUGCUGUGGUGGAAAGGAUUCCGGCUAAGGAUGGGCUCGCGGCCUAUCAGCUAGUUGGUGGAGUAACGGCCACCAAGGCGACGACGGGUAGC